GGGCCCGUAGCUCAGCUGGGAGAGCGCCACACUGGCAGUGUGGAGGUCAUGGGUUCGAGCCCCAUCGGGUCCACCA
rnacentral:tRNA from 1 species